UGCGUUUGUUACGCGGCGCGGUACUAGGGCAGGGGACAACCGCGAGAUUAAAUGGUAUAGGCUUGGGAAGCUGUCAAGUGUUGGUCCAGUCAAGCUUUGUCCGCCCAUGAAACAUCAAUCCCCGACCUGAAAUAACAUUAUCUCAAAGUUCGUUGAUUAAACUCGACGUUUCGCAAGAUUUGCCGGACGAGAGAGAGUGGCGCAGCGUUAUUUGAUUAUAUUGCGGAGAUCUAACUAUAUCCAAUAUGAGAUUGGGUUUAUACGUCAUCACUCUAUUGCUAGUGUCAAUAAUGGCGGCGGCGGCGUUCACGAUACCGCUAAACAGACUGCGGCAGCACAAGCAGAAAAACACAAGAAGAAAUACGCAGUUCAACCUGCGCAAACAGGCCUUGUUGCACCGGUCGCAUCCGUCCUCUUAAAACACUUGCAAGCUCCACGAUAAUCUUCCUCGCACGCGACGUGAAUAUCUCAACGUGUAAAGCAAUUAACGUUAACAAGAAACUUUAUAUUAUGCGUAUUAUGUAGUAAUAUUAUAGUAAUACGCGGUAGUAUUGUAUAAUGGUAUUAAGCGGUAGUAUUGUAGGCUACGCAAUUCUAGUGUUUUAUAACAAUUUAAUGAGUUUCAAGUAAACUCGUUUCAAAUAAA